CGGCGGGAUGAUACUGUGAAUGUUUCCCCUUCUUCUAAAGUUGUGGCUGGAACUUUUGCAUCCAUUUCUCUGGAUCACAUGAAUUUUGGCGGUCAUGCUUGUCCUCCUGGAUCAGAGGUAUCUAUAUCAUCAAAGUGUCGUUACUUUCACAAGGUUAUUGAUUUCAUUGAUGGCAUUCUACUGGACAGGCCAGAUUCUUGUAAUCCAAUAUUGGUCAAAACUGAUUGAACCACUCCAUGUUUUUGACCACAUUUGAAGCUACCAGUCAAUUGCUCUUUGCAGUUAAUAGGGCCCCUGCAUCCCCCAUGGAGACUGAUGAUUGGAAUGUCAAACAGGAUGAUAAGGAAGAUGCAGAUCAUUCCUGGAUAUAUGGUCCCUUAGCUAGCUAUGGUAAACUUAUGGAUCAUCUGGUGACAUCAUCAUUUAUUUUGUCUCCAUUUACAAAGCACUUACUUGCACAACCUUUGGCAAAUGGAGCCUCACCUUUUCCUCGGGAUGCUGAGACAUUUGUUAAAGUGCUUCAGUCUAUGGUGCUGAAGGCAGUGCUUCCUGUUUGGAC
rnacentral:misc_RNA from 1 species